UGGGCUGGUUGGCUGUUUCAAGCCAAGUGCUUUUUGAAAACUUCAGAAAAAUCCUUUGUCCUUUUUGAAGAAUGAGAUCAAGGAAGAUAUAUCAUUUUAUUUUUGUUAUAAAAUUCUUCCUGCCAUCUCACUGAGGGAUUUUACUCCAGGCUCUGAAGCAUAGACUUUAACUUUGGGAGAAGUAUGAUUCUUAUGUUGAGAUUGUGCCUUUUUCAAUCCUAGAAUAUCUCUAUUUGGAAGGGACCCAUAAGCAUCAUCAAGUCCAACUCCCUGCUCCUUGCUGGACUACCUAAAACUAAGCCAUAUCACUAAGAGUGUCAUUCAGAUGCUCCUUGAAGUCUGACAGGUUUGGUGCUGUGACCACUUCCCUGGGAAGCCAGUUCCAGUGACCAGCCACCCUCUCAGUGAAGAACUUUUGCUAAUGCCCAGCCUGCACUUCCCCUGAUGCAGCUUUAUUCCAUUUUGUCGUGUCCUGUCACUGGUCACCAGAGAGAUCAGCACCUCUACCUCCGCUGCCGUCCUUGAGAAAGUUGUAGACUGUGAUGAGGUCACUCUUCAGCAAUGAGGACAUACCUCAGCCCUCUCUUCUCCAAGCUGAACAAGCCAAGUGACCUCAGCCACUGCUGCAACUUUGUGAUGCUGGUGAAGAGCCAUUCAUACACGUCUCCUUUUCAACUCCAGUGAGCACAUUUUAUGGAUGAAUACAAGGCUGUAAAAGAAGCAACUGUAAAAACUGAAUUUUGUAUUAGUCUGGGAAAAGAAAACCACAAAACCAAAAAUGUUAAUGUUUGGAAAUCAG